UACGGAGGGUGCAAGCGUUAUCCGGAUUCACUGGGUUUAAAGGGUGUGUAGGCGGGUAUUUAAGUCAGUGGUGAAAUCUCCAGGCUCAACCUGGAAACUGCCAUUGAUACUAUUUAUCUUGAAUCUUGUUGAGGUGGGCGGAAUAUAUCAUGUAGCGGUGAAAUGCUUAGAUAUGAUAUAGAACACCGAUUGCGAAGGCAGCUCACUAAACAAGCAUUGACGCUGAGGCACGAAAGCGUGGGGAUCAAACAGGAUUAGAAA
rnacentral:rRNA from 1 species